UUGACGUAACUAUAGGUAGGUCUCCAUGGGUCUUGGGCAAGACGACUUCGGUUCACACAUGAAAGUGCUUCGAAAGGCACCGGCUCCCAAUGGUGAAAUUCUUGCUGAAAGUCUAGCUACGUGCUGGCACUCAAUCAGGUUGUAGGGCUGGCACGUCACUCGUCUCCUCGGCUCACUUCGGUGGCAAUUUCUCCUUAGGCGCAUGUCUCAGCAACACAAAACGAGGGUUUCA
rnacentral:lncRNA from 1 species